GGGUUGUGAGGUUAAGCGACUAAGCGUACACGGUGGAUGCCCUGGCAGUCAGAGGCGAUGAAGGGCGUGCUAAUCUGCGAUAAGCGCCGGUAAGGUGAUAUGAACCGUUAUAACCGGCGAUACCCGAAUGGGGAAACCCAGUGUGAUUCGUCACACUAUCAUUAACUGAAUCCAUAGGUUAAUGAGGCGAACCGGGGGAACUGAAACAUCUAAGUACCCCGAGGAAAAGAAAUCAACCGAGAUUCCCCCAGUAGCGGCGAGCGAACGGGGAGGAGCCCAGAGCCUGAAUCAGCAUGUGUGUUAGUGGAAGCGUCUGGAAAGGCGCGCGAUACAGGGUGACAGCCCCGUACACAAAAGCGCAUGUGCUGUGAGCUCGAUGAGUAGGGCGGGACACGUGGUAUCCUGUCUGAAUAUGGGGGGACCAUCCUCCAAGGCUAAAUACUCCUGACUGACCGAUAGUGAACCAGUACCGUGAGGGAAAGGCGAAAAGAACCCCGGCGAGGGGAGUGAAAAAGAACCUGAAACCGUGUACGUACAAGCAGUGGGAGCACAGGUUUACCUGUGUGACUGCGUACCUUUUGUAUAAUGGGUCAGCGACUUAUAUUCUGUAGCAAGGUUAACCGUAUAGGGGAGCCGUAGGGAAACCGAGUCUUAAUUGGGCGUUAAGUUGCAGGGUAUAGACCCGAAACCCGGUGAUCUAGCCAUGGGCAGGUUGAAGGUUGGGUAACACUAACUGGAGGACCGAACCGACUAAUGUUGAAAAAUUAGCGGAUGACCUGUGGCUGGGGGUGAAAGGCCAAUCAAACCGGGAGAUAGCUGGUUCUCCCCGAAAGCUAUUUAGGUAGCGCCUCGUGAAUUCAUCUCCGGGGGUAGAGCACUGUUUCGGCUAGGGGGCCAUCCCGGCUUACCAACCCGAUGCAAACUGCGAAUACCGGAGAAUGUUAUCACGGGAGACACACGGCGGGUGCUAACGUCCGUCGUGAAGAGGGAAACAACCCAGACCGCCAGCUAAGGUCCCAAAGUCAUGGUUAAGUGGGAAACGAUGUGGGAAGGCCCAGACAGCCAGGAUGUUGGCUUAGAAGCAGCCAUCAUUUAAAGAAAGCGUAAUAGCUCACUGGUCGAGUCGGCCUGCGCGGAAGAUGUAACGGGGCUAAACCAUGCACCGAAGCUGCGGCAGCGACACUUAUGUGUUGUUGGGUAGGGGAGCGUUCUGUAAGCCUGCGAAGGUGGCCUGUGAGGGUUGCUGGAGGUAUCAGAAGUGCGAAUGCUGACAUAAGUAACGAUAAAGCGGGUGAAAAGCCCGCUCGCCGGAAGACCAAGGGUUCCUGUCCAACGUUAAUCGGGGCAGGGUGAGUCGACCCCUAAGGCGAGGCCGAAAGGCGUAGUCGAUGGGAAACGGGUUAAUAUUCCCGUACUUGGUGUUACUGCGAAGGGGGGACGGAGAAGGCUAUGUUGGCCGGGCGACGGUUGUCCCGGUUUAAGCGUGUAGGCUGGUUUUCCAGGCAAAUCCGGAAAAUCAAGGCUGAGGCGUGACGACGAGGCACUACGGUGCUGAAGCAACAAAUGCCCUGCUUCCAGGAAAAGCCUCUAAGCAUCAGGUAACAUCAAAUCGUACCCCAAACCGACACAGGUGGUCAGGUAGAGAAUACCAAGGCGCUUGAGAGAACUCGGGUGAAGGAACUAGGCAAAAUGGUGCCGUAACUUCGGGAGAAGGCACGCUGACACGUAGGUGAAGUGAUUUACUCAUGGAGCUGAAGUCAGUCGAAGAUACCAGCUGGCUGCAACUGUUUAUUAAAAACACAGCACUGUGCAAACACGAAAGUGGACGUAUACGGUGUGACGCCUGCCCGGUGCCGGAAGGUUAAUUGAUGGGGUCAGCGCAAGCGAAGCUCCUGAUCGAAGCCCCGGUAAACGGCGGCCGUAACUAUAACGGUCCUAAGGUAGCGAAAUUCCUUGUCGGGUAAGUUCCGACCUGCACGAAUGGCGUAAUGAUGGCCAGGCUGUCUCCACCCGAGACUCAGUGAAAUUGAACUCGCUGUGAAGAUGCAGUGUACCCGCGGCAAGACGGAAAGACCCCGUGAACCUUUACUAUAGCUUGACACUGAACAUUGAGCCUUGAUGUGUAGGAUAGGUGGGAGGCUUUGAAGUGUGGACGCCAGUCUGCAUGGAGCCGACCUUGAAAUACCACCCUUUAAUGUUUGAUGUUCUAACGUGGACCCGUGAUCCGGGUUGCGGACAGUGUCUGGUGGGUAGUUUGACUGGGGCGGUCUCCUCCUAAAGAGUAACGGAGGAGCACGAAGGUUGGCUAAUCCUGGUCGGACAUCAGGAGGUUAGUGCAAUGGCAUAAGCCAGCUUGACUGCGAGCGUGACGGCGCGAGCAGGUGCGAAAGCAGGUCAUAGUGAUCCGGUGGUUCUGAAUGGAAGGGCCAUCGCUCAACGGAUAAAAGGUACUCCGGGGAUAACAGGCUGAUACCGCCCAAGAGUUCAUAUCGACGGCGGUGUUUGGCACCUCGAUGUCGGCUCAUCACAUCCUGGGGCUGAAGUAGGUCCCAAGGGUAUGGCUGUUCGCCAUUUAAAGUGGUACGCGAGCUGGGUUUAGAACGUCGUGAGACAGUUCGGUCCCUAUCUGCCGUGGGCGCUGGAGAACUGAGGGGGGCUGCUCCUAGUACGAGAGGACCGGAGUGGACGCAUCACUGGUGUUCGGGUUGUCAUGCCAAUGGCACUGCCCGGUAGCUAAAUGCGGAAGAGAUAAGUGCUGAAAGCAUCUAAGCACGAAACUUGCCCCGAGAUGAGUUCUCCCUGAGACUUAGAGUCUCCUGAAGGAACGUUGAAGACGACGACGUUGAUAGGCCGGGUGUGUAAGCGCAGCGAUGCGUUGAGCUAACCGGUACUAAUGAACCGUGAGGCUUAACCUUACAACGCCGAAG
rnacentral:rRNA from 1 species